GAGGGUAUAGCUCAGUGGUAGAAUACAUGCUUAGCAUGCAUGAGGUCCUGGGUUCAAUUCCCAGUACCUCCA
rnacentral:tRNA from 1 species